rnacentral:rRNA from 1 species
AACGAACGCUGGCGGCAUGCCUAACACAUGCAAGUCGAACGAAGCCUUCGGGCUUAGUGGCGCACGGGUGCGUAACACGUGGGAAUCUGCCCUUCGGUUCGGAAUAACAGUUAGAAAUGACUGCUAAUACCGGAUGAUGACGAAAGUCCAAAGAUUUAUCGCCGAAGGAUGAGCCCGCGUAGGAUUAGGUAGUUGGUAGGGUAAUGGCCUACCAAGCCGACGAUCCUUAGCUGGUCUGAGAGGAUGAUCAGCCACACUGGGACUGAGACACGGCCCAGACUCCUACGGGAGGCAGCAGUGGGGAAUAUUGGACAAUGGGCGAAAGCCUGAUCCAGCAAUGCCGCGUGAGUGAUGAAGGCCUUAGGGUUGUAAAGCUCUUUUACCAGGGAUGAUAAUGACAGUACCUGGAGAAUAAGCUCCGGCUAACUCCGUGCCAGCAGCCGCGGUAAAGUCGU